rnacentral:rRNA from 1 species
AGAGUUUGAUCCUGGCUCAGAUUGAACGCUGGCGGCAGGCCUAACACAUGCAAGUCGAGCGGAUGAGAAGAGCUUGCUCUUCGAGUUAGCGGCGGACGGGUGAGUAAUGCCUAGGAAUCUGCCUGGUAGUGGGGGACAACGUUUCGAAAGGAGCGCUAAUACCGCAUACGUCCUACGGGAGAAAGCAGGGGACCUUCGGGCCUUGCGCUAUCAGAUGAGCCUAGGUCGGAUUAGCUAGUUGGUGAGGUAAUGGCUCACCAAGGCGACGAUCCGUAACUG